GGUUUAUAAAGAAGUGGCGAGAGACUGGCUCAAUGACCCACUGGCAACCAUCUGAAGCGACGGAAAAGGUGCCAAAUCCUGUCCCAACCAACAUUGUUGUUGGGAGCAUAUAAAUA
rnacentral:ncRNA from 2 species